UUAGAUACAACACUCACAUUGUACAAGUUAUAUGGAACAGGAUUAUUACUUACAGAUAGGUGGCAAGGGACAACAGAAGCCCAGGAUCCACAGUGAGCUGGUCAGCCGAGGCUCUGGAGAGCUGUCGGGGGUGGAUGGAGUCCUGACUGAACAUGCCACACUUGGACUGCAGCUUAGGGAUCCCAAAAGGCAACCCACCUUGAGUUAACUCAGGGGACAUGUGAGUUGCUGGGCUAAAGCAUUGAAGGGCGUCUUGCUUCUAAGAUAAAGACUAAAGCUCAGGCUAUCCUGAGCAAUUCUUCUCUAACUCAAGAAGUUCUCUUCCCUAGGAGGGCAAAUAACAAAGCCUGGUCUAUUUCUAGCAGUUCCUCCCUGUCUCAGGAUAUUGCAUGCUCACACAUGCUUCAACUAUUCUGAGAACUACAAUCAACAAGACAGAAGAAGACUAGAUGAUGUUUCCUUUCCUGCCCAAUUUAUCUGGUUAAAACGUCUGAUACACUGUUGAAUAGAAGAGGCAAGGGCACAUGUUCAUGUCUUGUUCCUGAUAUUGGGAGAAAGCAUCCCGUUUUUCACCACUCUGGCCAGGACAGCCUAUCUGUGCAGGAGGCAUUGCUGGCACCCCGUGGGGACUGAGGACCAAGGAGGAGCUGCUCCCCCACACACGGUUCGUACUUCUGCUCUGUGAAGAGAGACAACUGUGCCCUGUCACCUUCACUGAACUA
rnacentral:lncRNA from 1 species